UAUGAUCUCUUGGAAAUAUCUGGCGUAUCAAAAGUUAUUUUAAAACAAAAGUUCAUGGAUGAUGAUAUUAUUUAUGUAACGCCAAUUGAAGAGUUUUUCAAUAAAAUUCAUGAACAACACAAAACAACAGGACAUGGGAAAUCUGCUGGUUUGGUGGUAAGACCCAUAAAAUCGAAAGAUUUUACUGUCAGAGGACAAGUUGACUUAAUUGAUUUCCAAUCUUGCGCUGAUGGGAAAUACAAAUGGCUCCUAAAUUACCAAGAGCAUUGUACCAAAGUUUUAUACUUGCGGCCAUUACAAACAAAAAGAUCUACAGAGGUGGCUUUUGAAUUACUUAAGAUUUUCCUUAAACAAGGUGCUCCAAUUAUUUUGCAAAGUGAUAAUAGACGGGAAUUUACUGCCGAGGUAAUUAACGAGUUAGUUUUGUUAUGGCCAGAAUGUACAGAAGAUUGUACAUGGACGACCGAGGCAUCCUCAAAGCCAGGGUUCUAUUGAAAGAUCAAACCAAGAUAUCGAACAGAUGUUAAGAAUUUGGAUGGAAGAGCAUAAAACUUCUCGUUGGUCAGUUGGGUGUUAUUUUGUGUAAUGGCAGAAAAAUACAUCGCUUCAUCGUAUCAUUGGAAGAUCACCCUAUAAAAGCCUAUAAAAGCCUGUACGGAGCAGAUCCCAAAAUAGGCUUAAGCUCUACAAAUAUGCCAUCAGAUCUUCUUGAUAAAAUAUUAAUUGAAGAGGACUUAGAAGCCAUUAAUACAAACUUUAUCAAUAAUAAUACAGAGAGUUCACUGAACAAUGGCGAUGACGACAAUGCAAUAGUAGAAAAGCUGUUGAUUUUAGGGCAGAUGACACUAUUCAAAAAGUGAAGAUAAGUGAUGGCAACAGAAUUACAUCGAAAGUCAUAGAUUAUCAAAUACAAACGCAUACAAACGUAUGCGGAAGAAAUUAUAUACCAAGAUAAAGGUCAAGGUAUGGACACUGAUAAGGACCAAAGUAUGGACACUGAUAAGGGCCAUUGUAUGAACUCUAGUGUCUUAUACUGCUGUGUUUGUGGCAACGAAAGUACAAGUGUACAUACUUGUUCAAAGUGCAACGAAAUAGUGCAUGUUAUUUGCGGUAUUUCGUACGAAGAUGAGGGAUUUGGCAGCCAAGUUGCUUGCAAUCAUUGUGUCAAUGAAGAAAAUAUUAGAAUAAACCGAAAAAAAAACUUGCGAGGGGCAGCUGAAAGGCGCUAAAGAAAUGACGAAAAAAAAGCAACGCAAUUUUCAACGAAAUAGAAACUAGAAAAUACAUAACGGUAGCUGUUCCGAAAUUUGACAGAGGAUCCUUGGACAAAAAGAAUUUAGAAGGAAUUAUUGUUGAUAAGAAAAAUAACGUGUAUAAAAUAGGUACAAAAAGUGGUAUAUUGAAAAACUGGUUUACCAGAGGCGACUUAACGUCUGUAUCUUCAAUUAGUUUUAAUUAUAAUAAUAUUCCUCAAGAAAAGUUUAUUUCUUUAAGAGAAGCCUGCGCUUCCCAAUCUAUGUUUUCAGGGCAAGGGUUUUCAAACUGUCAAUGCCAACCAUCAAAGAAACAGUGCAAUACAAAACGAUGUACCUGUUUUGAGUCUAAACAUUUGUGCAAUAGUAAAUGUCAUUCGAGUAAUCCUUGCCAAAAUAAAUAAUACAGUUUUAUUUUUUCUGAUAGGUAUAAUUUAUUUCGUUUAAAUUGUUUUUUUGUUAUCAGUUUACCUGCUAUGAUGUGCAUAGCGUGCUUAUUUAAACGAAGCAUACAUAAUUUUAUGUUUGUUUUAAUCUACAUAUGAUUAGUGAAUGUUAGUUUUUUAUAAAUAAGGUUACACAAUUUUAUGUUUGCUUUAAAUCUAAAUAUGAUUAAUGAAUGUUUAUUUUGUUUAAAAUUUCUUUAAGUUGUGAUACGUUUAUUUUUUUAUUCAUGUCUCCAGUGUGUUGCUUACCACUCUUACCACGUUAUGUUUUUAGUAUGUUUAAUAAUAUACUACUUUGAUUAUUUAUUUGUGUAUUUUUUACUUCGACAAACAAUAAGUAUAUCAAUAUAUAAUUGUUUUAAAAUAUAUAAUACAUAUUAUAUAAAAAAUAAAAUCCUUAUAACACAAUUAAUGAUAAAUACAAAUUUAAAAAGCGAGCGACAAUUCAUAAUAACUAUGUAUUAUUACAAAUUUCCCCUUUUAUAAAUUUAUGCUUCAAUAAAUUUAUGCUUUUAUAUUAAGGUUUUUUGUUUUUUAAUUAAUUGAUUAAGAAAGGAAUAUGCCCUUGAGAAAUACAAAGUUUUAACACUACUUAAAAUAUUUAUGCAUUCAAGAACAACAACAAACAUCUUAUUGUGAUUUGAUUGAUUAAAUUCGUAUCAUUUUCCAAUAAGCUCACAUUAAUAACAUUAGCGUUUCUAAAGAAUUGCACCUUUUUGAUUGUUUUCAAUAUAUUUCAGUUAUCUUAUUUAUUUCUAUAAUAGAUUUAUAUUAAUAUUUCAUAAAUUAAUAUUCAUAAAUUUCAAUCUAAAAGUAUUGUUACAUAUCUGUUCAACAAGCAUAAUUUUGGAAAUCUUAGCUAAAAGAGGUAUA